CGCACGGCAAAGCGCAGCGAGCCGCCGUUAGCGAGUCUUGGGUGUUGUCUGGUAACAGGCAGGGCUAAGCGUAGACAGCAAGGAAGCAGGGUUGCAGUGCUAUUGAGCCCCGAAAUUUUACAGAGCUCCAGAGGCCGACGUAGUUUAUUCAUACGGAAGGCAGCAUCACGGCAUGCGAUAUCGCGAGUGUGCCGUGGCUCUGGCGGGGUCUGAGGGC
rnacentral:ncRNA from 1 species